rnacentral:rRNA from 1 species
UACCAGCACCCCGAGUGGUCGGGACGUUUAUUGGGCCUAAAGCAUCCGUAGCCGGUUCUACAAGUCUUCCGUUAAAUCCACCUGCUCAACAGGUGGGCUGCGGAAGAUACUAUGGAGCUAGGAGGCGGGAGAGGCAAGCGGUACUCGAUGGGUAGGGGUAAAAUCCGUUGAUCCAUUGAAGACCACCAGUGGCGAAGGCGGCUUGCCAGAACGCGCUCGACGGUGAGGGAUGAAAGCUGGGGGAGCAAACCGG